UACGUAGGGGGCUAGCGUUGUCCGGAAUCAUUGGGCGUAAAGCGCGUGUAGGCGGUCCGGUAAGUCCGCUGUGAAAGUCGAGGGCUCAACCCUCGAAUGCCGGUGGAUACUGUCGGGCUAGAGUGCGGAAGAGGCGAGUGGAAUUCCUGGUGUAGCGGUGAAAUGCGCAGAUAUCAGGAGGAACACCUAUUGCGAAGGCAGCUCGCUGGGACGUUACUGACGCUGGGACGCGAAAGCGUGGGGAGCAAACAGG
rnacentral:rRNA from 1 species